ACUCAAAUGUAUCUAAUAUGAUAAACAGAACUGCAUUACCUCAGAAAAGCGGAAGCAGUGCAGCUCGCAGCGUGUGUUGCACAAUCGCUCCAGCGGCCUCGUUCAGCUCCCACAACACUUGGUCCUGCUCUGCUUCAUACUACAGUAACGUUAAUAAUCUCAUCCAUGAACAUGAGUUCUUCCUGAGGCCUAUCCCGAUUAUUUCCACCGGCUGUAAGGUAAAGACCACAUGUCCCAAGAUUCUGCACCCAAACUUGGCGUCAUCAAGCUAUGCCUUUGUUUUGAAUUGGCCUCUAGCAACCUCUAGCGGACAGAAAAUAUAACAUAUUGUACCUAUUACUAGUGCACCUAUUAAUAUAACAUAUUACUAUUGUAACCGUUCCAUUCUGUGCCGAUCCAGGCCAGCCAGUACAGAUAUGGUUUUAUUUUCCACUGCGGGGCUGAUAACAAAGCUCUUUGGAGUGUAAUACAAAUGCAUCAGUCAUUGCUUUGGUAACGCAGGAGUUUACAGACUGUAUGAGAUGCAAAUAGUGACAAUAUUAUGGAGGAUGUUCAGAUAUUUCUGUUAUUAACUGUUUACUUCAUUCAAAUAGCGUGCUUGGUCAGCUAAAAGAGAAAAUACAUCACAAUAAGCAAGACUAAUGAGAAUUAAGGAAAAUCUGCUUGUCAUUACCUCCACAGUCUAUGAUUGCAGAAAAAACGUGUGUAUCUUUUUAUUGAACAUUGAUGGAGCAACACAUUUUGUUAUGUGAGGUGGUGAGGGGGGCCUUUUACUCCACACUCAAGGUAAAAGGCUCACCAGGCUGCUCCAGUCUGCUCCUCUCUGCUGAAUAGUUUGCGUCUGUAGCUCCGUAGAGCUUUGUUUUGAAUCUAUUUAUUAUCAUUACUUGUCUAUUUUAUCAUUACUAUAUAUCUGAGCAUUAGCAUUUCGCUAGCUUGUUAACUUGCCACCCAGGUCACGUACCGUUCUUUUCUCUCACACACUCUACGAUUCGAGUCCAUCAAACAACUGUGGUAAGUCGGAUCACUCUACAAACACGGUGAGUCAUGUCAUCCUCUCCUUUUGUUGUUCUUGCACUGCCUGUCAUAUGCAUAGUAUAGCUAUCUCUGUCAGCAGUGAGAUUUACAUAUGUGAUAAAUGUAGGGAGACAGUCAGGCAGAGAGAAUCUCAGAAUUAGUGACACCCAUACAAACUUUAAUUGAGGAUAGUGUAAUACUGUGGGUGUUCUUGGGGCUUAUAUAUAUAUAGGAUAACUUUAUAAACAAAUAAAACCCUCAGACACUGACGAGAUCUUCUUUAGUUUUUUUUUUAUUAUUCUCUUUUUUUUUCUCCUUCCACCCUUCUCUCUCUAUAUCCCCUGUCACAAUAAAAGUCAUCACAACAACAUCCAUUUUAACACUGAAUAGAAACUGCUGAAUGAAAUAUUCAAACAUAACAUCAGCUUAACAAUGUGUUAAACUUUUAACUCUUACACUACUUCCCCUUUAUGAAAAGAAACAUCCUCGUUUCCUGAAAUACAAAACAGAAACAAUAUAUCUGUAACAAAAUAUGAUUUUUAGACAUUUGCAAUUUCAAACAAAAGAAUUUCAGGUACAGAAAAACUAAUCAAAAUUUGAAUAUGAAACUUUUACAAAAAUACAAAUAACAUUUUGAAUGUGACAGUUUUUCUUUUGCUUCUUUUUAACUCUUUGUUUUUUCAAUACUCCAACUCUGAUUUCAACCAUACAUCACACAAUCCCAUACUCAGGUACUAGUAUAUGAACAAGAACGUGGAGAUGGCUGUUAAGAUAUUACACUACCCUAUAACGUAAUGGAGGACGCACAGAAUGUCCUGACCUUGUUCUCAUGCCAGUUGCUGGCUGUUCUGUAGGGAGUUCUACAUGGGAUUCAACUUCAGAUCCCUCAGAAAAUUCAACCUGAACCUGAACAGGUGCUUGAAUCUGUUGAGUUGGUUUUACAGACAUGGGUACAGCAGAGUCAUGAAACACAUAAGGUCUGGAGCCUGAUAUUGCUGUAAGUGGAGGGCGUCCCGUUUGAGGGGGUGUCAGAACUGGGCGUGGAUCAGGUGACCACGCAGAGUGGUAAGGUUUCAGCCGAUUAUAGUGAAUCACUUUAGGCUUUGACCUAGAAUCAAGCAGGUCUUUCACUUUAUAAGUUACUCCAAUGUCACCUGCCGAUGAAUCCAAUCUGCUCAAGACCUUGUAUGGACCAGUCCAUUUCGGAGAAAGUUUGUGUCUUGACAUAGAAGGAAGAUCAACCCAUACAAGAUCAUUAGGUUGAUAAGCCACAUGUCGGAUAUGACGGUCAUAGUAAUGCUUUUGCUGUGCUCCAGCUGACUGGAUGUUGUCUGCAACAGUGGUAAAAUCAGCACGUAGUCGUCCCUGCAUAGAAUGCACAUAUUACGUUGGGGUUCCGGGAGUAGCCCUGGAAGUUGCUGGGGGUACACCAAGGAGAAAAUCAGCAGAUAGGCAAGCUUCUCUGCCAUGUGCCAAGAAGAAUGGUGUAUGCUUGGUUGAGGAAUGAACACUCGUAUUGUAAGCAAAUUCAACCUGCUUUAAGUGGUCAUCCCAUUCCCCACCUUUGGUAUAAAGAUAUUUUGCAAGCUGAUCUUUUAUGGAUCUAUUGGCAUGUUCUACCAUACCGUCCGACAUGGCAUGAUAUGGGGAUGUCCGUGUUUUAUGAAUCCCAAGCAGGGAACACAGUUCUUUCACCAAAUCAGUAUCAAACUGUCGACCUUGGUCAGUGUGCAAACUCUGGGGCACACCAUGUUGGCUCACAUAGUCUUCAAACAAACACUUGGCGACAGUCGUUCCACGUUGAUCAGAAACUGGAUAGAGGUUGAGGUAUUUGGUGAAGUAGUCCAUUACUACAAGAACAUACCAAUUCCCUUUCUGUGUAAUGGGCAACUCCGUUAGAUCAGCAGCAACUUUUUCAAAAGGCAUAUUUGUGACUAUAUUUUGCAUUGGGGCCUGCUGGUGAGGUGUUUGUGGUCUCCUUGAUUCACAAGCUUGACACUGGGCACACCAAUGUGUAAUGUCCCUCGACAUGCAGGGCCAGUAGCAUCUCACUAGAGCACGUUGCAGUGUCUUUUGUGCACUGAAAUGUCCAGAGAGUGAAUGACCAUGUAAAGUCUCAAACACGUUACGCUAUAGUGCAGGCGGAACUACAACCUGCAGAAUCUGUUCACCUGGUGGAGGUCUGACUCUACGACAAAGGACAGAAUCCACAAAGGUAAGCCUUGGGAACUCUUUCCAGAAAUGUCUGAAUUUGUUAGCAGUACCUUUGAGCGUUGUAUAUGGAGGUCUCUUCUUAUUUAACACCCAUUCAGAAACAAAGCUCAAAACAGGGUAUGCCUUCUGAGCAUGUAGUAUAUCUCCACUAUCCAUACCCAGGCAAGUGCUGCUGGAAAAGGUAGAGGGAGCAGAAUUUGAAGGCUCAAACCCAGAGCCUGCACCAGAAGAAACAGGUUGUGCAGUAGUAGGAUAUGAUUCGACUUCCUCAGUCUGUGUCGAAGCAGUAACAAGAUUUACAGGCUUGAUCUCCAAAUCAUUGGGAAUGUUGUUCUCGCUCUCAGGUCGAAGAGACAUGGCAUCAGCAUUAGCGUGUUUAUGACCAUGUCAGUACUUAAUGGUCCAGUCAUAGAGGUCAAUCUCCAGAGCCCACCGUGCUCUGUGACCCGUUGGAUCACCAUCCAAACCAUUCACCUCAGACUAAACAAGGGCUUGUGAUCAGUGAUGAUUUGAAAAGAAUGACCCAUGAGAUGUUGACGAAAGUGACUAAUAGACCAGACAAUAGCCCACAACUCCCUGUCAUAUAUUGACCAUCGUUUUUCAGUAGGUGUCAGAAUGUGACUGCCAUAAGCGAUGACACUUUCUUUGUCGUCAACAUUCAUCUGGGACAGAACACAUCCGAUAGCCAUGUUGGAAGCGUCAGUGAAGAGCAAAAACUCCUUUGAAAAGUCUGGGUAGCAAAGAACUGGAGCAUUGGCUGAAGACCGGCAGAAGACACAACAUGGCCCAGAAAUGUUACUUGCUGUUGGGCAAAAGAACAUUUAGUUGGUUUUAGCUUCAAGUUUGCUGCUCUCAAACGCUGGAAGACCUCCCUCAGAUGUUGAAUGUGCUCCGAAAAAUUCUUGCUGUAGACGAUAUCGUCUAAAUACACAAGACAUGUUUUCCAGGAGAGACCCUGCAACACUAGCUGCAUCAAAUGUUGAAAGGUGGGUGGAGCAUUGACAAGGCCCAUUGGCAUCACUGUAAACUGAUAUAAAGAACGACCAGUAGUAAAGGAUGUUUUUGGUUUGUCAGCCUCGUGAAGCUGCACUUGCCAAUAUCCGGAUGAUAUAGAAUAUAGAAGAGCCUCUAAGUGCAUCCAAGGUGUCAUCUGUUCUGGGUAAAGGAUGGGCAUCCUUAAUGGUGACAGAAUUAAGGCCUCUAUAAUCUACGCAAAAACGCCAAGUGCCAUCUUUUUUCCUCACCAUAACGACAGGUGCAGCCCAAGGGCUAUGGCUGACUUCCACAAUACCUUUUGCCAACAUGUCAUCCACCUGUGACUGAAUCACCUGUUGCAUCUUACAAUAGCAAGAAUGCAAGGGAUACUGUUUUGAAUGCUGUUUUGAAUGCAACUAGCUUAGUAAACUCUGUACAUUGUUCAGUUCCAGCUGUAAAGAAUAUUAUAUAUAUAAACUGUUUAUAAAACUGUUGCCACAGGUUAAAGGUUUGGCUUAUCACAUAAAUUAUGUUUAAUGGAAAUGCUUGUAUUGAAAUAUUUUGCUCUACCCAAUUUUUAUGCCACCAGUAUUAAACUGUGCUAGAUGAUGAGAAAAAAA